rnacentral:rRNA from 1 species
AAUUCGCCCUUAGAGUUUGAUCAUGGCUCAGAUUGAACGCUGGCGGCAGGCUUAACACAUGCAAGUCGAGCGGAGAGAGGUAGCUUGCUACUGAUCUUAGCGGCGGACGGGUGAGUAAUACUUAGGAAUCUGGCUAUUAGUGGGGGACAACAUUUCGAAAGGGAUGCUAAUACCGCAUACGUCCUACGGGAGAAAGCAGGGGAUCUUCGGACCUUGCGCUAAUAGAUGAGCCUAAGUCGGAUUAGCUAGUUGGUGGGGUAAAGGCCUACCAAGGCGACGAUCUGUAGCGGGUCUGAGAGGAUGAUCCGCCACACUGGGACUGAGACACGGCCCAGACUCCUACGGGAGGCAGCAGUGGGGAAUAUUGGACAAUGGGGGGAACCCUGAUCCAGCCAUGCCGCGUGUGUGAAGAAGGCCUUAUGGUUGUAAAGCUCUUUAA